UUUGUUUCUUAUUCCUGUGCUCCGUUUUAUCCCAAACCAAGUAGAACACGAGCUCGAUAUUGAUCUCCCGUGAGGUCAAAUUGGAGAUGGAUUUGAAGACACAAUCUGACUUGAAGGAGUUGAAAUUGGAGGCCGGAAAAGAACACAUGUGGAAGAUGAGACCGUGGCCGGCUUCACAAGAGAAGAAAUUUCGACAUCCUGCUGCAAUUGGCCUCUGGGAGAAUUUUUUUGUUUAAGGAGGACCAAGUGAUUAUAGUCACAGUAAUGUCAAAGUCUUGAAGCUUUAUUUUAAGGGUGACCAUCUUCCUCCAAGUGCCAGUUCUGGUUUCAUCUUGUUGGCAGACAUGAAUUUUAGAGUCUGCUGCAAAACUGUAUUUAUUUUGACAGCUUUUCUCUGUCUCCUUCCUUUGAAUCAGAAUGUCAACCCUGGCUUAUUUUUGGCUAUGGUGUUUUGAAAGAAUGCAGGAGGAUCACGUAUAGUGUUUAAGUGAAAUUGACAGAGUUCCCUUCUUUUUA